UACGGGGGGAGCAAGCGUUGUUCGGAUUUACGGGGCGUAAAGGGCGCGUGGGCGGUCAGCACAAGUCAGUUGUGAAAUCUCCGGGCUUAACUCGGAAAGGUCAACUGAUACUGUGCGACUAGAGUGCGGAAGGGGCAACUGGAAUUCUCGGUGUAGCGGUGAAAUGCGUAGAUAUCUGGAGGAAUACCGGUGGCGAAGGCGGCAUCCUGGACCGGCAUUGACGCUGAUGAGCGAAAGCGUGGGGAGCGAACAGG
rnacentral:rRNA from 1 species